CAUUUGACCGUCCAUAACUAAAACCGUAUGAACUUAAUCUUUGGUAUGUACGGUAUUCAAUUGGACCAUAAAAAACUUAUGAUUAACUAUUCCUCUUAAGGAUAUCGCCUUAAAGAUAUACUCCUUAAUAAAGUGAAAAACCAACAGUAAAUCAUA